GACGAACGCUGGCGGCGUGCUUAACACAUGCAAGUCGAACGGAAAGGCCCUGCUUUUGUGGGGUGCUCGAGUGGCGAACGGGUGAGUAACACGUGAGUAACCUGCCCUUGACUUUGGGAUAACUUCAGGAAACUGGGGCUAAUACCGGAUAGGAGCUCCUGCUGCAUGGUGGGGGUUGGAAAGUUUCGGCGGUUGGGGAUGGACUCGCGGCUUAUCAGCUUGUUGGUGGGGUAGUGGCUUACCAAGGCUUUGACGGGUAGCCGGCCUGAGAGGGUGACCGGCCACAUUGGGACUGAGAUACGGCCCUGACUCCUACGGGAGGCAGCAGUGGGGAAGAUUGCACAAUGGGCGGAAGCCUGAUGCAGCAACGCCGCGUGCGGGAUGACGGCCUUCGGGUUGUAAACCGCUUUCGCCUGUGACGAAGCGUGAGUGACGGUAAUGGGUAAAGAAGCACCGGCUAACUACGUG
rnacentral:rRNA from 1 species